rnacentral:tRNA from 1 species
GAUCGACUGGCGCGAGGCCGGCUCGGCCGCCGAGGUCGCCCGCGCGGCCGAGGUGGAGGCCGCCCGGCCGUUCGACCUGGCCGCCGGGCC